rnacentral:rRNA from 1 species
GAGUUUGAUCGUGGCUCAGGAUGAACGCUGGCGGCGUGCCUAAUACACGCAAGUCGAGCGAACGGACGAGAAGCUUGCUUCUCUGAUGUUAGCGGCGGACGGGUGAGUAACACGUGGAUAACCUACCUAUAAGACUGGGAUAACUUCGGGAAACCGGAGCUAAUACCGGAUAAUAUUUUGAACCGCAUGGUUCAAAAGUAAAGACGGUCUUGCUGUCACUUAUAGAUGGAUCCGCGCUGCAUUAGCUAGUUGGUAGGUAACGGCUUACCAAGGCAACGAUGCAUAGCCGACCUGAGAGGGUGAUCGGCCACACUGGAACUGAGACACGGUCCAGACUCCUACGGGAGGCAGCAGUAGGGAAUCUUCCGCAAUGGGCGAAAGCCUGACGGAGCAACGCCGCGUGAGUGAUGAAGGUCUUCGGAUCGUAAAACUCUGUUAUUAGGGAGAACAUAUGUG